rnacentral:rRNA from 1 species
UACGUAGGCAGCAAGCGUUGUUCGGAGUUACUGGGCGUAAAGGGUGUGUAGGCGGUUCCCUAAGUUUGGUGUGAAAUCUCCCCGGCUCAACCGGGAGGGUGCGCCGAAAACUGGAGGACUGGAGUGCGGGAGAGGAGAGUGGAAUUCCUGGUGUAGUGGUGAAAUGCGUAGAUAUCAGGAGGAACACCGGCGGUGUAGACGGCUCUCUGGACCGUAAC